GAUGAACGCUGGCGGUAUGCUUUACACAUGCAAGUCGUACGAGAGUUUUUAACUCAAGUGGCGGACGGGUGAGUAACACGUAAGAAUUUGCCUUUAGGAGGGGGACAACAACUGGAAACGGUUGCUAAUACCCCAGAUGCUUUCGAGUGAAAUGGUUUUUCCGCCUAAAGAGAAGCUUGCGGCUGAUUAGCUUGUUGGUAAGGUAAUGGCUUACCAAGGCGACGAUCAGUAUCUGGUUUGAGAGGACGAUCAGACACACUGGAACUGAGACACGGUCCAGACUCCUACGGGAGGCAGCAGUGGGGAAUUUUCCGCAAUGGGCGAAAGCCUGACGGAGCAAUACCGCGUGAGGGAUGAAUGCCUAUGGGUUGUAAACCUCUUUUUUCAGGGAGGAACAAAAUGA
rnacentral:rRNA from 1 species